rnacentral:rRNA from 1 species
GUCUACAGCCAUGCCACCUUAAACAAGCCCAAUCUCGUCUGAUCUUGGAAGCUAAGCCAGGUCAGGCCUGGUUAGUACUUGGAUGGGAAACCACCUAGGAAGACCAGGUGCUAUAGGCA